CGGGUGCCCUGGAAUGGGGUUGGGCCAUUCGAUGUGCCAGGUUAAUUUUUUUUGCCUCUUGGAUGGUGUGUGCCAUCGUUGCCGUUGUGGUAGACUGGGGAGCAUUUGGAGUUGUUGAUUCUGAGCCUUCAAUAGUGAUCUUUGGCAUGCCUAGCUCCCGGUUGAAGCCUGCCACAUCCUUGUGAUUAGAUAUGGACAGCGUGUUACCAUUGUGUGUAACGAUGAGGGCCAGCGGGAAGCCCCAUCGAUAACGGAUGUCUCGAGCUCUGAGGUGGUCUGUUAUAGGCCGUAGGGCCUUUCUGCCCUGUAAGGUCAUCCAGCAGACGUCGGGAUAUAUCUGUAUAAACGUCCUGUGGAACAACAAGGGUUGCGAGGCCUGGUGCACGGAGCGUAGAACACCUUCCCAGACGGUGUGAUAAUGGAGCCUGCAGAUCACGUCUCUGGGUGAGUCACCCGGUGCACCUCUUGGGCGCAGAGCUCUUUGUGCUCUGUUCAAGAGCACUGGGGUGUCAGUUGGAUUGCUGAAUAUUAGAUAGAAGAGUUCUUGCAGAAUAUGUUCUCCCCAUGUCGCUAUGGUAACCCUUUUGUGCAGAGAUUGUUCCGCUUCCCCUGUUGUCGAGGUAGUCCAUUGCCCUAUGCAUGUGCAAAAGGUAGGUAGUUGGGUCUCUACUGUCGCUUGGAGUUGUUGUACCUUAGUGAGAUUGAGGUCUCAAUCUUCCUCCAGAGUGUGGACUCAGUCUCCCACGUGGUGUAUGUCUCCGGCCAUUGCAUCCUUUUUUGCAGCAUAUGUGCGAGGCCUAACUUGGGUGGUAGGUUUUUGAGGAUGUCCC